ACAAAAUGGCCCACAGUGGCCCACUGCAGGCCAUCGUGAACUGUAGACCACGAUCACUUUAUGUUGAUCUAUCAA